UACGGAGGGUGCAAACGUUGCUCGGAAUCAUUGGGCGUAAAGCGCACGUAGGCGGCCCAGCCAGUCGGGUGUGAAAGCCCUCGGCUUAACCGAGGAAGUGCAUUCGAAACUACUGGGCUUGAGUACUGAAGAGGAUCGCGGAAUUCCCGGUGUAGAGGUGAAAUUCGUAGAUAUCGGGAGGAACACCAGUGGCGAAGGCGGCUCACUGGCCCGGUACUGACGCUGAGGCACGAAAGCGUGGGGAGCAAACAGG
rnacentral:rRNA from 1 species